UAACGAAUCUUCCGCAAUGCGCGAAAGCGUGACGGAGCAAUGCCGCGUGCAGGAUGAAGCCCUUCGGGGUGUAAACUGCUGUCAGGGUUCAGCAACACAAUGAGCAGAUCCAAAGGAAGAGCCGACUAACUCUGUGCCAGCAGUCGCGGUAAUACAGAGGGCUCGAGCGUUGCGCGGAGUCACUGGGCUUAAAGCGUACGUAGGCGGGCGUGCAGGCAUCGUGUGAAAUCCCCCGACUCAACCGGGGAACUGCUCGGUGAACCGCACGUCUUGAGGUCAGUAGGGGCGUCGGAACGAUAGGUGGAGCGGUGAAAUGCGUAGAUAUCUAUCGGAACGCCGAAGGUGAAGACGAGGCCGCUGGGCUGAUUCUGACGCUGAGGUACGAAAGCGUGGGAGCAAACG
rnacentral:rRNA from 1 species